rnacentral:rRNA from 1 species
GACGUAGGGCGCGAGCGUUGUCCGGAAUUAUUGGGCGUAAAGAGCUCGUAGGCGGCUUGUCGCGUCGACUGUGAAAACCCGCGGCUCAACCGUGUGGCUUGCAGUCGAUACGGGCAUGACUGGAGUUCGGCAGGGGAGACUGGAAUUCCUGGUGUAGCGGUGAAAUGCGCAGAUAUCAGGAGGAACACCGGUGGCGAAGGCGGGUCUCUGGGCCGAUACUGACGCUGAGGAGCGAAAGCGUGGGGAGCGAACAGG